rnacentral:tRNA from 1 species
UUAAUUGAAACCAAAAUAGAGGUAUAUUACUGUUAAUAAUAUUAAUGAAAAUUAUUUUUCCAAUUAAG